AACACGUCUUAUCGGUAG
rnacentral:sRNA from 1 species